rnacentral:lncRNA from 1 species
GUCUAUUUACGUAAUGAACUUUACGUAAUCACUGGGUCUAGUAGCUUGAACUUUAAACUCCUGCCUAAACACAGCCUUCUGUGGGAACUUCUCCUUGUUUUUCUUAUAGGCUUUAGAACCAUGGCCUUUUGACACUCCUCCAUAUUUACUUUUUUAUUCUGCUCAUGUAUUCAAUAAAGAUCCAUUCAGCACCUCUCUGUGUCGAGUACGGGGCUAGGCAGUAGUGGACAGACGGACAAACCUGCGCUCAAGCUGCUCACCAUCUGGUGGGAGAAGAACGUCAGGACAAACGGUUUCUGGUGUCACUCAAGGUGUGCUGACCAGUAAUGUGGGUGAUAAUGUGACCUUCGCAAUGGACGUGUAUCAUUACAUACAUUACGUUGGAAUCAAGGUCAGGCAUUAACAAGGUCGGAGGGCUUGUGCUGCGGUCCAGAGCAGUCAACUCUCUUCUCACAAACGUCGCAGCACUACGUUGGUUCCACACCUCCUCCUCGGCUCCCUCUCUGCUGCAUUUUCCCCCUGUGGUUUUUUUCCCCUCAGUCAAUUAAAUAAUUUGGCUGCAUUGUCUUAGUUGUGGCACACGGAUCUGUUUUUUCUCUCUUUUUUUAAAUUAUGAGAGUAUGAUAACACAUUUACAGAAGGCUUGGAAAGUCCAGAACUAAGUUAUGUAUAGUUCCACUAUUUGGUUCAGUUCAGUUGCUCAGUCGUGUCUGACUUUCUGAACCACGGACUGCAGCACGCUAGGCCUCCCUGUCCAUCCCCAACUCCCAGAGCCUGCUCAAACUCAUGUCCAUCGAGUAGGUGAUGCCAUUCAACCAUCUCAUCCUCUGUCACCCCCUUCUCCUCCCGCCUUCCAUCUUGCCCAGCAUCAGGGUCUUUUCUAAUGACUCAUUUCUUUGAAUCAGGUGGCCAAAGCAUUAGAGUUUCAGCUUAGCAUCAGUCCUUCCAAUGAAUAUUCGGGACUGAUUUUCUUUAGCAUUGACUAGUUUGAUCUCCUUGCAAUCCAAGGGACUCUUAAGAGUCUUCCAAUACCACAUUUCAAAAGCAUCA